AUUGAACGCUGGCGGGAGGCUUAACACAUGCAAGUCGAGCGAGCGGCGGACGGGUGAGUAAUGUCUGGGAAACUGCCUGGUGGCGGGGGAUAACUACUGGAAACGGUAGCUAAUACCGCAUACCAUCAGAGGUGCCCAGAUGGGAUUAGCUAGUAGGUGGGGUAAUGGCUCACCAAGGCGACGAUCCCUAGCUGGUUUGAGAGGAUGACCAGCCACACUGGAACUGAGACACGGUCCAGACUCCUACGGGAGGCAGCAGUGGGGAAUUUUGGACAAUGGGGGCAAGCCUGAUGCAGCCAUGCCGCGUGUGUGAAGAAGGCCUUCGGGUUGUAAAGCACUUUCAGCGAGGAAGCGUUACUCGCAGAAGAAGCACCGGCUAACUCCGUGCCAGCAGCCGCGGUAAUAC
rnacentral:rRNA from 1 species